CCUACGGGUGGCAGCAGUGGGGAAUAUUGCACAAUGGGGGAAACCCUGAUGCAGCGACGCCGCGUGAGUGAAGAAGAGUUUCGGCGCGUAAAGCUCUGUCAGCGGGGAAGAAACACGGGUCGCGAGAGCCGCGGACGGUACCCGACCAAGAAGCCCCGGCUAACGACGUGCCAGCAGCCGCGGUAAGACGUCGGGGACAAGAGUUCUCCGGAUUCACUGGGUGGACAGGGAGCGGAGACGGCGAGAAAAGUCUGGAGUGAAAGGACGGGGCCCAACCCCGGGACUGCUCUGGAAACUGCCUGGCUGGCGUACAGGAGAGGUUAGUGGACUUCCUCUUGUAGCUGUGAAAUGCGUAGAUAUU
rnacentral:rRNA from 1 species